rnacentral:lncRNA from 1 species
AUAAUAGCAACAAGUUUGUCAUAUAAAUUUUUCACAGCUUGUUCCAAAACUUGUUGACAACUUGGGGAUUUAGCAGUGCGAAAACACAACUUGUUGACGGCUUGUUGGCAGACUUUUAUGCGUGUAGGUAGGCACCCUGGUUAGGCGCUUGAUCCAUUUCCUUUGGUUUUAUUCAGUGUCUAUUCCCCUCCCCACUCUAGCUGUCAUCUAUGCACAUUGAUGCACGUGUUCCCCCUGGACGAUCACUUCAUAGUAAUAUACCGCAACAACGGACAACAGAAUGCUAUCACGGUGAACACAGCCCAUCCAAGGCCACCAAUCAGGAACAAGCUUUCGGUAAUGCCCGCGAAGAUAUUCCCGGUAUUGGUCGACAACGAGAAAAACUUAAACUUGAGCAAGCCGAGGGCAGGUGUCAUCAUGAUGAUAGCGUAGUUACUCCCGGCGAAUAACGCUGCGCAGGCACGAAUCUCCGAGCACCUCAAGUUCGGCAUAUUGUCUACUUUCGACCAGCGAUAAAACGUAGUCACUCCUUUGUAAAGGCUUACUAUGACAAAAGAUACCAUAUUGAAUACGACCAGUAACAGUAGCUUUUCCUGGCGAUCUUGUAAGAUCUCCUUAUCGUUACAGUACACAUCUUGCGAGCAUUCAAAACACAUCAGGCCGCCUGCCCCGCUCCGUUCCGAAUACAGCUCAACUCCGAGCACCGAAGCGGGAAUAUUGUAUACCAUGCUACACAGAAAGCCAAACCAAAACUUAAUAUCAACAUACAUCUCGCGUUUCUCGAUAAUAAACUCAGGCGAAAGCGUCGUCUGGUACAGCAUCCAUACAUAGGCGAAAAGAAAGCCGGUUAUCAACAGCCCGCCGACGCAUAUGAAGAAAGCGUAUGUAUACAUAAUGCCCUCAAAAUGAUCCAACUUUUUUUCAUAAUCCCUGCGAACCCACGGACCGGUUGAACACUUCAGGAUGCUUCGAGUGUGGUUCAGUUGGAACUCGUCAGAAUUGAAGAAUUUCUCGUAGCGAGCGUGCGAUUGGAUUGCGUCGAAAAAGACCCCGACGUCCAUUCCGAAAUCGAAGCCGUAGAUGAUCAAAAAACAAACGAAUUCGCGGGUUAGACCUUUGUUGAACUUCAUUUCUUCAAUUCUCGUCGUUUUGAAUCAGGGCUUGCUCGGCUUUGGUGGAAAAUAACUAGAUUUUUAGAGCAAAAAUCCGAAGACAACUCGGUUCACCGUCUGACAUUCGAAAUCAAGUGGAAAAUAUGAUCUUUGCUGUUGAUGAAUAAUUUAUUUUUCAAUCAGUCGAGAUCAACAGCCUAGGACAGUUUUGAUUGGUCACUGGCCAGCCCUGCUUCAAUUACGUCUUGAUUUCAAAUGUAGAUAUUUCAAUAUUUUAACGAGUUUUAGAAACACCUGCUCGUUGUCGCACGCUUUCUGAUUGGCCACAGCUUGAAAAGCAAACGUCUGAUUGGUCGAACAAAUGUCACAAAGAACCUCAAUUGAUUUUUGUAAUUUGGACGAUUAUUCUACGGGCAUAAUAUACACAUCGUAAAAAUUCGGAAAAUAUAAUAUAAACGGUUUUAAAUUCACGUGAAAGCCAGUUCGUAGUACGACGAUGGUCGAACCAAAUUAUAGAUGAACCGAUAUACGUGAAUGUUUGGUCGUGUGUAACUAUCAGCCGGAAAAGUUCGCAAGGUUUUGACAGUUUGUCGGUUCGAAUAUUGAUAUGUAGAUAUGUAUAUUUAAAUAAUUAAUGCCAACCAACACACUGAUUCGGGAUAUGACAGUUUUCGUAUUGUCUUAACGUUUCACACGUGGCCGGGUGAAUUUGGACCCGUGCUCAAAAUUCGUCUGGUUUUGCCUUGCGUUCUGAUGCGGGACGUAUGAAGUCGGGCGAAUUCCAAC